rnacentral:RNase_P_RNA from 1 species
AGAGAAGGCUGGACGGUCGCCGGCCGCGGCAACGCGGCGGGAGGAAAGUCCGGGCUCCGCAGGGCAGGGUGCUGGCUAACCGCCAGGGGGAGCGAUCCCACGGACCAGUGCCACAGAAAGCAGACCGCCGCGCGCAAGCGCGGUAAGGGUGAAACGGUGAGGUAAGAGCUCACCAGCGGCGCGGGUGACCGCGCCGGCUCGGCAAACCCCACCCGGAGCAAGGCCAAAUAGGGGAGCAAUGGCGUGGCCCGCGCCGCUUCCGGGUUCGGCCGCUGGAGACGCCGGGCAACCGGCGCCCUAGAGAAAUGACCGUCGCCCCGGGCUGACCGCCCGGGGACCAGGACCCGGCUUACAGGCCUUCUCUGGCG